UGCGGGAUAGUGUAAUGGUAGCACGUUAGGCUCUGAACCUAAAAAUCUUGGUUCGAAUCCAAGUCCCGCAG
rnacentral:tRNA from 1 species